UAUUUAGACAAUUUCAUACAUAUUAAUAUACAUUAUGCAUAAAAUAAUAUUAGAUUAAAGUGGGUGUAUGCAAGUGAUCAAAUUGAAUUAGAGAAAAAUACGAGCACAAUAUCAUAUUUUCCUAUAAUUCAACUUGGUGACUUGCAUUCAUCUAGUUUAAUCUAAUAUAUGUCAUAUAGUUUAUCAUCCUCUUAAUCAUGCAACAAC
rnacentral:lncRNA from 1 species